UCCCGACUUCUAAUUAAAAGCUAUGUGAAUUCUUAAGAAGGUUGCCCUCCUAAUAUUUGGUUGAACUACAUAUCAAGAAUCACCAAAAAAAAAAAAAAAAAAAAAAGGGCAGAAUAAAACAAGGGUGUGAUUUCUUGGGAUGUUGUUCAGGUAUUUAUUAGUGAAAUUAUUCUUGAAGUUCACGAUCGAAUUGCUGUGCUAAUCGCAUAUGCAAUCAUAAACCUAUUAAAAUACCUAAUUUAUGAUUUCUUGAGUAUGGUCAUGAGGCUAUAGGUAUACCGUGCAUCCAAGAGCUUGUUGAUAGCAUUUUAUCUAGUUUCUUUCAAUGUUCUUUUAAUUAAUCCUUGAAAAGAAUCUUCCUAUUUGGCUAACUUAGUCUACUUGAUUUCCUUCAUUUUUCAAACUUGGUUCAUGCUUGGGCUGAUGUUCUUUAGCUUUUCGAAAAUAUUUUUUCCAGAUUUAUGAGGAUUUUCGAAUUAAGGGGAUCUAGAUAUUUUGUAUUUUUUUUUCAGCUUACCUUAUUUGCUGACUGCGUGUUUUAACAGACCUUUGUUCUAACUAGGACUCUAAGUCUAUCUUUGGCACAGACUGAUCAGAAAGGGGGAGUAGUAACAACUCUGCCGUAACAACUUGCGUUGUGAUUUCCUGCGCUUUGAAUAUUUGUAUUUGAUAUGUCAUGCGUUUAAGUUUAUAUUCUGACAUUGCAGGAACAUUUAGUUGGUUACGACAUUUUUAUGUCGAAACAUUUAGAGUCCUAACAGUCUGUGUUACAGGGGGAGUAUAUCUCUUUUGCAGGGGGAGUAGUUCAAUUUUGCAGGGAGAGUUCUUAUUAAACAUGGAUUCUGACCAAUCUAUGCCAAAUGGGGAGAUUGUUGGCGCCAGAUUUCCGAGUGAUGAAGAUCGAGGAAAUCCGCCAAGUUUUUUGGAAUUAAAAGGUUGGCAAAGAUUUAUUUUCCAUGUUUAUUUUGGAAUUUAUUAAAGUCCUAUUCUUAUAAUACUUCUACAGUAGAACCUCGAUAAAUUAAUACCCGAUAAAUUAAUAACCUCGCUUAAAUAAUAAAUUUUCACGGUCCCGACUCGGGGACAACGUGCUAAAUUAAUAAUUCGCUAAAUUUAUAAGAUAAUACACUUUCGAAAAUUUUAAGAAGCCCCAUAUAAUAUAUAAAUUAAUAAUGCAUAAAAAUAAUUCUUAAAUUACAUGGUACAAUACAUACUUUAUAUAUCUAUGAAGGCUUAGUAAAAUAUAAUUUCAUUGUCACUUGUUUCUUGUUAAAGUUCUCAUUACCAUCAACCUCGUCCCUCACUUUUCUUAACAUGGUUAGAAUUUCUGGUAUAAUUUUCUCAUAAGUCAACAGAAAAUUGUUCAAUACCAUAUCUGCUUUAAAAGCUUUCGUUUGUGAAACGGGCUCUAUAGUACAUUGAACUAAUGGUACAAUGAAUAAUAUACACGUAAAAAAAAAAAAAAAAAAAAUGUAUUAUUGAAAAUAAUAAUAAAAAUAAAUUUCAUAAAUUAAUAAGUUAUUAAUUAAUGUAUAAAUUAAUAAUUAUUAAUUUAUCCAUAAGUUAAUAUUUCACUAAUUUAAUAGAAUUUUGAUGGUCCCAAUUGUAUUAAUUUAUAGAGGUUUAACUAUAUUAGGACUUAGAUUUAUUUCCAUGUAUUUUAUUCUAGUUAGGUAUCUUUUGUACUUAUCUAGAAUAAAAGUAGAAAUCAACUAGGAUUCUAUUACCUAGUUAAAUAGAUUUCUUGGGGUUCAAGUUAGGUCUUUGGGCUUAUUUUCGUGGCUAUAUAAGCCUCCAAGACAUACAAGAACCGUGCGCAUUAUUUGGAAGAAAAACCACUUCAUAGCGUCGAAGGUUUGCUAAGGCGUUCUGCGGAGCAAAACUGUGCUAUCGUUGCACUGUGCCAUCGUUGUGUGUGCCAAUAUAUACAGAUCUGUUGUAUAGAUCUCAAGGGAGAUCAACCGCGUUUCUGAAGGGAGUUCAGGCCUGAAGGGAGUUCGAGGCACGCGGUGUGGAGCUGCUGUUGGAAGAGACACGGAGUUCAAGUUGUGUACAAGAACGGCAUAUUACAUAAAGAGGGAGUCUUUAGUGUUUUUAAUAAGUCCUAUUAAUGUACACUGUAAAUCUGAACUAGUGAAAUCGUGUUUGCAGGUCCACGUGGAUGUAGGGCACAUUUGUGUCUGAACCACAUUAAAUUCUUGUGUUUGUUUACUCGCUUUUAGUAGUUUAUAACUGUGUUAACACAAGAAUUGUAGUUGUAACUACGUACUGUUCCCACGACAACUGUUACAACUUAGGUUAACAGAUUUUCAUAGGCAUUUAAAAUCAACAGUCUCUUUCGAUGUUGUUCGUUGGAGUCUACUCCAUAGCGAUAAUUCAAGUUUAGCUCGCGAUUAGGUUAACUUGCACUUUUAUUUUAUUAUAGGUCUUUUCGUACGAAAACUCUAAUUUUGGUUAUUAAAAUUUGGUUGGCAACAAGUAGGACCGGCAAUUGAGCCGGGCCUAUCCGAAGCUCGAUAGCUUUUGCCCUGAUUUUAUUUGAGCCAAACCUGAUUAACAGUGAGCCAGAGAGAGAGAGAGAGAGAGAGAGAGAGAGAGAGAGAGAGAGAGAGAGAGAGAGAGAGAGAGAGAGAGAGAGAGAGAGAGAGAGAGAGAGAGAGAGAGAGAGAAAGAGAUUGCGAGAGACAGAGAGAGAGCGAGAUUGCGAGGGAGGAGAAAAAAGAAAAAUAAAUUUGAGAAAUACGUGACUUUAGAAUUUAUGGAUUUAGAUUAAGGGUAGAUUAUGGAUAAAAGAAAAAAUAUAUUCCACAUCUAAUUAUAUUUCCAACUAGGGACCUCUAGCAUAUUACCCCUUUUUUUUUUUAAGUUGCGCAAUUUUCAAAUUUUCCAAAAGGUUCGAGAUUGGAAUGUAUUGGUAGAUUUUUUUUUUUUUUUUAAACUGGAACUAGAAGUGGUUUUGCAAUGUUUUCCAAAAAGUUCGAUCCAAUUCGUCCCAUCUCACUUUUACCCCUACAAAAUUUACAUCUAAUUACAAUUGAUUGGUAGUUUAGGGAUGAAUUAUGUUUUGCACCCUAGAAUGAAUAGUGUUUGGCGUUUUGCAUCCUAUCAUUCAAAAAAUUGACAAAGUUCACCCUUACGAAAUAUAUCUCAUGGCAAAAUGCACCUUCCUCAAUUUCUUGUGAUAUUUUAGCCACAACUCAAUAACAUAUCGUGAUAUUUUACACAUUUGAAGAAUUUUCAUUCUUCUUUAUGUUUUGUUUUAUUUACUUAAUAUUUAUUUUAAUUAUUUUACUUGUAUACAAAUUAAAGAAAAACAUAACUGGUGAUUUAUUUCUUAUGUUUCACAUCGAAUUCAUCAAUGCAUAUAAAAUUUCUAGUUCAAUUUUAAUUUUCAGAAAAUUCUAAUUUUCAUUAAAUUAAUAUACAUUCAAAAAAAUAGAAUGAGAACUGUUGGACAUUAUUAAGUUUAUAUUAAAAUGGUUUGUUGAUAAAAAAAUAAAUGGAUGAAUGAAAAUAAGGCUUUACAAAUAUUUUUUUUAAUAAAAAAUAAAAACUAUAAUAUACCAUCAAGCAUGAAAAUCCCUUCAAAGGUUAAUAUAUCAUGAUAUAUUGAUUUUUGGGUUAAAAUCUCAUAAGGAAUUGACGUGGGAUGCAUUGUGCCAUGAGAAAUAUAAUUUGAGUUUGAGCCUAUAGGAAUGAGGCCUGAUGAAAUUUGAGUUUGAGCAUAUAAUAAUGAGGUCCGAUGGUAUAUGAGUUUGAGCCGACCGAGGCUCAGCUCACAUGGCCCGAUUGCCCCCUAGCAAUAAGGUAAUCUACAAUUUUUUUGAAAUUUGAAUUAUGUUCAGGUCUAAAUGUCCAAAUUAUAAAACCUUAUACCUUGUUUGGUUGGAGAGAUUAGUCAUGAUUAACUAAAUAAUUGGACUUUAUUUGAUGUUUGGUAUUUUCAAUAACUUGCCGAUCGAGUCAACCUGCAAAUAUUUUAAUCUAGAAUAACUAUUUAAAAAAAAACCCCAACAUUAAUUUUUCGUUUUUUUUAAAUUGUAAAUCUAUGUAGAAUUUUUGGAAUUUUCGAUCCGAUUUUUAUUUUUAUUUUGCUUUCCUUUAGAGAAUGUUUAUUAUUUUAGUUUACUUAUAUAUUAUAUAUAUCAUGUAUGACAUAUAUUAGUGAACACUUAAUUAAACGUUGAAUACACGCCGCUACUUCCAAACUUAAUAAGCUAUGAUGCACAAAAACUUCAACCUGCACACGCGUUUCCAUAUUUCGGAAAUGUUUCAGAAACCGAAACUAUGACACCUGUCGGAAACGUUUCGGGCUGUUUCUAUAAACAUUUAAUUUUUUUGGGGACGUUUCUAAUAAUAAUGAAAAAUUGGAAACGCGUUUCCACAACAUAAAUCGAAAUUUCAUUUUAAAUAAAAACUUCGAAUUGCAUAUGCGCACUUAAAAAAAAUCUUAAUACACUAUGCCUUCUUUUUACUUCUAGUAGUGUUUUAAUAUUUUUAUAGAUGUUAAUUCCAUACUAAAAUAAAUGUAUGUACCCCGGAUGUAAUUUGUGGAAUGAUAUUAACAUUAUAAUAUUUUUUUUGAGAAAUUAUGAAUGCACCUCUCUAUAUUUUUAUUAUUAUGCGUAUCCCCACGUUCCCGUUUCCUUCUUUUUGGAAAAUUGAGUUUCUCCGUGUCCAUUUCCAUCUUUUCUGUGUUUGUGCUACAUAGCUUAACAAUUUUGAAAUUUAUACAAUUUUUUUAUAGUUCACAUAUAUAAGUUCUUUAUUUCUCUAUUUCAAACUUGUUUCAGUAUUUCAGUUGUAUUUAUCAUUAUCCGUGAUAGAUUUGGAUUAUAUACAUGAUUUGAAUUUUUUAGAUUCACAACGAGUCAUUGGUGAAAUACAUUCUAUUGAGUUUUAUAAAAGUUGGUGUUCUUAAUUUCUCAAAAUUUAUGAAAUUUCCAAAAAAAUCCUAAACUAACUAAUUCUUUUUAAAAGUUGCACGAUUUUCAAAAUUUCCAUAAGUUUCGAGAUUGGAAUGUAUUCAUAGAUUCCAUUUUUUCUGAAACUGGAACUAGAAGUGGUUUUGUAAUGUUUUCCAAAAAGUUCGAUCCAAUUCGACCCAUCUGACUUUUACCCCUACAAAACUUACAACUAAUUACAAUUGAUUGGUAGUUUAGGGGUGAAUUAUGUUUUGCACCCUAGAAUGAACACUGUUUGGCGUUUUGCACCCUACCAUUUAAAAAUUGGCAAAGUUCACCCUUACAAAAUAUAUUUCAUGGCAAAAUGCAACCUCCUCAAUUUCUUGUGAUAUUUUAGUCACAACUCAAUAACAUAUCGUGAUAUUUUACACAUUUGAAGAAUUUGUUCUUCUUUAUGUUUUGUUUUAUUACUUAAUUAUUUUAAUUAUUUUACUUGUAUAUAAAUCAAAGAAAAACAUAACUAGUGAUUUAUUUCAUAUGUUUUACAUGGAAUUAGUCAAGGGAAAAUUAGAAAAAACCCCCUCAUCUAGGAAAUAUAGUUAAGGAAACACCCCUUCCAAAAAAUAAUUAGAGAAAAUCCCCUUACCUAAUAUUUCACCCAUGUGAUAUUUUUAUAAUUCCAAAACUACACUUAAUUGUCUAUUAUAUUUUUUUCAAAAUCCUGAUUUUAUUUUAAUUUUAUUCCAGCGUGUUUCUCUCUUCUCUUCUUCUCUUCUUUGUUUUCUCUCUUCUCUGUUUUCUUCUCACUCUCUCUCUCUUUUUUUUUUUUUUUUUUUUUUUUAUUUCUAUUUUUUCUCCGCCAAUCUUCUCCCCGUUGUUGCUGCCGCCGCCGGAAGAUGGAGAAAAAAGAAGAGGAAUCACUCGUCGUCGGCGUGUGGGGGAGAAACACUCUUCUUUCUCAACAUCAUGUCCCACCCCGUCGGCGUGUGGAGGAAGAAGAAGAGGAACAAGUUGUUGAGAAAGAAGAAGAAUCACUCGUCGGAGGAGGAGAAUCAACGAAAAUUGUUGAUGAAGGUAUUUUUUUUUUACCUUUAUUAUUUUUUAGUGUUGGUUUUCUCAUGUGCUCAAAAAUUGUUUAUGGAGUGACCAACAAUGAUUGACAAAUACCUUUGAAUCAUUCUUGUUUUUUUUUUCGGACAUUGAAAUGCUCAUUUGUGUUUUUUUUUUUCAUGAAUUAUUUAUUUUAUUUAUUUUAUUCUUGUUAAGGAUUGGUUGAAAUUGUGUGGUGCGACGGUGUGGUGGCGAUGGGGAAGCAGAAGUUUUUUGGUGGAUCGGGCGAAGGACGGCGCGUGUAGAGAAUUUUGCGCAGGCUGAAACCUUAAUCGACUAUGUACAUGUUCAUAGUCGAUUAAGCUAAUCAACUAUGCUCUGGCAGUCGAUUAAGGUUGAUCGAUUCCAAUUUUUUUAAUUUUUUUGAUUUUUUUUAUUGAUUCGAAUUGUAUAAAUCAUUUAUAAUGUUUGUAUAUUUUUUAUUUUUGUAAUAUAUUGUUGAUUUUGCAUUUUUUCGCAGUUGUGAUUUGUUAUUUUUAGUAGUAGAUUCUUAAUCGACUAUGCUUCACAUCAUAGUCGAUUAAUAUGCUUCAUUGACUCCAAUUUUUUUUUUUUUUUUUUUUGUUUUUUUUUUUGUUUAUUGAUUCUAAUUGUAUAAAUCAAUUAUAAUGUUUGUAUAUUGUUUGUUAUUGUAAAAUAUAGUUGAGUUUGCAUUUUUGUAGUUGUGAUUUGUUAUUUUUAGUAGUCGGUUCCUUAAUCGACUAUAGUUCAUCAUAGUUGAUGUAAUAUGCUUCAUAGUCGAUUAACAUACCUGAUAGAGAAAAAAAGUUAAAAAACCAAAAAAGGAAAUUAAAAAAUAAUAAUAAUAAUAAUAAAUUAAUAAUAAUAAUAAAAUAAUAAUAAUAUAUAAAAAUGAAAAAAAAAAAGAGAAAGACACGGCUGAUGGGUCAUGGGAUAGUAGGCUGAUGGGUCAUGAAGAUAGUGGGCUGAUGGGUCAUGGAGAUAGUGUGUAAGGUGGAGGGACAUAAAUGAAAAAAUGAGUAGUUGAAAUUUGGAGUGGAUUUUUCUCAAAUGGUGCAAAAUAAUUUGGGCAUUUCUCUAUUAAAAGAAGUAUUGAUGGGUUAUAUCAAAGAGCCCCAUUAAUCAAUGAAUAUAAAUUUUUCAACAUUAAUUUUCAGAAAAUCCUAAUUUUCCAUUAAAUUAAUUUAUAUUCAAAAAAAGAGAAUGAUAACUGUUGGACAUUAUUAACUUUUUUUUUUUAAAUGGUUAGUUGAUAAAAAAAAAAAUUGAUUAGUGAAAAUAAGGCUUUACAAAUAUUUUUUUUAAUAAAAAGUAAAAACUAUCCAUCAAGCAUGAAAAUCCUUUCAAAGGUUAAUAUAUCAUGAUAUAUUGAUUUUUGGGUUAAAAUCUCAUAAGGAAUUGACGUGUGGUUCAUUGUGCCAUGAGAAAUAUAAUUUGGGGGUGGACUUCGCCAAUUUUGAAAUAUUGGGGUACAAAACGCCAAUUAGGGUUAAUUAUGGGGUGCAAAAUGCGAUUCACCCGUAGUUUAGCUAAUAAUCCUUAAUUAGAAUAAAAUCGGUAGAUAUAUUGGGAAAAGAAAAAAAAAACUAAAAUUAAAAGUUCCAUUCAUGUAAGGAAUUAUGUUUGUAUUAGAUACGUAUAUUAAGUAAAGUAGGAAACUAAGAAAGAAAUUCACCUGUAAAAAAUAGUAAAUAAACAAAAGAAAACUUGAGAAAGAAGUUACCGCAGGAUUUUCUACUUUAAGUAGGAGUGGAGGAAACCCUAUAAAAAGGAAGCCCUAAGAAGCAAACUUCAACACAACACAGCAGAAGAAAAAAAAAAAAAAAAAAAACAAACAAACAAACAAAACCCUAGUUCUAAUUGUUCCGAUGGGUGAGAUCGAGAAGAUUUUUCCGCACGACAUCGUCGAACAAAUCCUCUCUAAUCUGCCGGUGAAAUCGCUCUUCCGAUUCAAAUCCGUAUGCAAGUCAUGGAACUCGACAAUCUCCGACCGUAGAUUCGUCGGGCUUCAUAUCGAGCAAUCCCGACGGAGCUCCGGCAACCAAGAUAUCUUCUUUUGGGGCGAAAACUUCUACGAAGACCAGCGUCUGUACUGGUGCAGACACCACCUGGGCUGGGUUUACAGAAGUAACGACAAGGUAGCCGUCACCAAGAAACGGGAUGAAUUUCUAGAGCCGAAGAUCAAAUUCAACGUCGUACGGACAUUGGAUCCGGUCGUUUUGUGCUACUGCGACGGGCUAGCCCUCCGCCGGUUCCCUAGAGUUAACGAGAAAAGGUACGCGCUCUUCAAUCUACUCAUCGGCACUUACAUCGAGUUCACCUGCCCUUAUCCGAUGAGACACGACCCCCACAAGACGGUUUACGGUAUCUGCUUCGACGAGUCGACCAACGACUACAAGGUGGUCAUUAUCGACCGCAUGCACUACGCGGUCUAUCACUGCAUGAGCAGGAGUUGGAGUCCCAUGCAAGAAACGGGAGACGAGUUCCCGUGGCGUAGAAUGAUCCACGGGAAAGGGGUUUCGUUGAACGGGAACCUGUUUUGGGUUCUCAAAACCGAGGAGCUGCCAGAAGACGAGGAUAAAUCGGGGAAUAAAGAAAUAGUGGGUUUCGAUCCUAGGUCCGAAAAGUUGAUCAAAUUGCCGAGGCCGAAAAACACGAAAGCGCCACUGUUAUGGAUGUACUUGACUUUUUUGGAAGGCGAUUUGUGUUUGUGCAUCAACCAAAAUAAUCAUCAGAGGAUCAAAGUUGGCGUAGAAGACGCGUGGAGGGAGUUCGAAGGGGAGCUACCCUUGCCUAAGCAAGGGGAAGAAGAUCUACAAUUGACGCCGCAGUACGAGACUGUAGUCAAGGUAGGUUACUCGACUACUACAACGGGUUACUAUCGACUCCCGUAUCUCGAGAAUCUGUUCUUCAGCGAGCGCGAACAUGCCCUCAAGAAAAAGAAGAAGAAGAAGAACUACAAUUAAAUUAGAGUUUUUGUUAGAAUAGGUUGUGGAAUUUUGGUUUAGAUAUUACAAUUGGUAGUUUGGUAUACGUUUUACGAAAAGUUUUGUUUUUUAUUUUUUAAUUAUUAAUUAGGGUCUUUCUAGGGUGAGAUCCCAUGUUCUAAACUUUUAUGAGAUACUCGUGACCAUCUGAAAACUCACAAGAAUACUUACCAUUAAGACACAACACAUAAUUGACAAUAAACUAACAAUACGGAUAUAUAUCACAAAGCUGCAAUUUAUAAUGGUUAUAAAACUUAUAUAAAUAAUGUUAAAUAAAUUAUUAAUUCUCAUAUAAUUAUUAUUAUUAUAUAUUAAAAAUAUUCCAUACUAACAAAUCUUUAUAUAAUAUAAUUUAAAAAUCUAAGGAAAUGUUGUUCAACUCGUGUAAUUUAAAAAUGAGUUUCGAAAGAAUUUGAAGUUUGAAUUGAAUCGUAAAUUGGAAGAUUUAAUUAAAUCGUAAUAUUUGAAUCAAUUAAACUCAUGUGUUUUCAAUUCAAAAACAAUAUUCAAAGAUUUGAUCGAUUAAGCUCAACUCAUUUCAAUUCGUAUACAAUAUUCAAAUAUUUGAAUCGGUUAAACUCAAUAAUUUACAAUAGCGUAUUAAUCAAUCUGUGUAUAGUUAAAGUUUAGUAACCUUUUUUUAUUGAAUUUUAUCAUAAAAAAUAAUAAAAUUUAAUUCGUAAAAAUCGUAAGAUUUAAUCGGUUCAUGGUUAGAUUAAAUCUUACGAUUUACGAUAUGAUUUUUACGAUUUUACGAAUUAAAUUAUUAUUUUGUUGUUAAAAUUGAAUUAAAAGGAUAGUAGACUUUAAUUAUAAAUAGUUAACUCGAUUAAUACGUUCUUGUCAGUGGUUGAACUUAAUCGAUUCAAAUUUUUGAAUAAUAUUUACAAAUUAAAAGGAUUUGCGCUUAAUUGAUUCAAAUCAUACGCUUUAAUUAAUCUUAUGAUUUGAUUCUUGCGUAAUUUAGGAAUUAUUUUUUUAUGAUAAAAUUGAAUUAAAAAUGUAUUACACUUUAAUUAAUAAUAGUUAAUUUGAUUAAGACGUUCUUGUCAAUAGUUGAGCGCGCUAAUGAAUCGAUUCAAAUAUUUGAAUAAUUUUUACGAUUUGAAAGCACUUGAGCUUAAUUGGUUCAAAUAUUACGCUUUGAUAAAAUAUUAUGAUUUACGAUUAAGUUCUUACAUGUGUUAGGAAUUAAAUUUACUAUUUUUUAUGACAAAAUUGAAUUAAAAAGAUAUUAGACAUUACUUAUAAAUAGUUAAAUCAAUUAUGUAACAUGUUAUGUCAAUAGUUAAGCAACCGAUUAAAAUAUCUGAAUAAUGUUUACUAAUUGAAAGGAUUUGUACUUCAUCGAUUCAAAUCUUACUAGUUGAUGAAAUUAAAUAUUAAAAGAAAUUCACAAUAUAGUAUUUGUAGUAUAUAAUUUUAUUUUAAAGUAAGAAAACUACUAAUUGGAAUGAGUUAUAAUUUUUUCUUCUUCUAAACAAACAUAUUAUUUUAUUUUUUAUUUGGAUUUGUCACACUAUCGAUUAAAUAAUAUAAGUGAGUUUGAAUUAAGUUAUGCAUUUUUUUAUAUUUAAUUGAGCAUUCUUUAUAUUUAAUUGAGCAUUCUUUACAUUAAAUGGUGGAGUUUAUUAAUACUUCUAAUAUUAUAUAAUUAAUGAUAGAUGUUUGGCGUAUUGAACUGCAAUUCUUUAUAUUUUUAAAACUUUAUUUUAUUAAAUUUGUUAAUAAUUUAUUUAAUAUCAUUUAAUAAUAAUGAAUGUUGCAAUUAAUAUUUGAAUUAACAGUAUUUAUACAAUUAUUGUUAAAUAUAUCAUAAUAAGUUAAUGUGCUUGGAUGGUUAGGAGUGAUAAAUGUAUUAAGAGGUCACAAGUUCUAUUCCUAAUGAAUGCAUUUUUUCGAUUAUUUAUCAAAUAAAUCUCGGUCACAAUGAAUUUAAAUUAAUUAUUUAAUUAAAAUAUAGUAGGGGGUAAAUUAGACAAUUCAAUGUUAAUCAAUUUUAUAUUAAUUUAAUAAAAAAAAUAAUCGAAGGAUAAUUUGGUAAAGUACUUCAUUUUUUAGAACAUAAGCCAUGUUAUUUUCCUAGGGUCCAGAUUUAAUCUUAGAAAAUUAAUGGUGAUUAAUGCAUAUCUCAUAAAAGUUUAGAACAUGGGUAUCUCACCCUAGACAAACCCUAUUAAUUAAUCAAACAAUCAUGUUUUCAGAAUUUUAAUUUCGAAUUCAAAUUAUUCAAUAUAUAUAAUAUACUUUGGUCUUUGUAUGUUGAUAUUUUAGAUAUCCAUAAAUCAACUCGUUCCAUAAAGGUUUCCUUUUUAAAAUAUUUUGUUCCAUGUUGUAUACUACAUUGAAUUUUCAAUACUGCAUUAAAAUGUUUUUUUUCUUUCUAUUCUAAUUUCUAAAUUUAUUAAUUCAACUCUCUCUUAUCACAUUAUUAAAUAUUUAAGAUUAUUUUAGUCUAUCUAAUUUAUUUUUUCUAAAAUUAAUACAUAUUUAUUGAUAGUUUUAAUACUUGUAUAAAACUAAAAACUACACUUAAUAAGGAACGGAUGAAAUAAUUAUAUUCCUUGAAUUCUAACCCCAUAUCAAACACAAAUCACAAUCCAAAUCCUAAUUUGAGAUGCACCUUAAUUAUUGGAUAAUUCCUUGAAUUUAAACCCAUAUUAAACACAAAUCACAAUCCGAAUCCUAAUUUGAGAUGCACCUAGGGGUGGAAAUUGGAACGAAAAUUCCGAUUUCCGCCGAAUCCGAUCCGAAAUAUUCCGAUUUUGGAACGACUUUUUCAAUUCCGAAUUCCGAAAUUCCGAUUUCCGAAAAUUCCGAAAAAAAUCGGAUCGGAAUCGGAAAUACAUUACAGAAUUUCGGAAUUUCCGAUUUCCGAUCCGAAAUUAUUCCGAUUAUUUCCGAUUAUUUCCGAUUAUUUCCGAUUUUUUCCGAUUUUUUCAAUUAUAAUAUUAAUAUUUAUUACUAUAUAUAAUAUAUAAAAUAUAUGUAUAUAUCUAUCCGCCUGUACUAAUUAAUAGUAUUAUAUAUAUAAUAAUAAUAUAUACAUAUAUAUUAUUAUUAUUUUUUAAUUUUCUAAAACAUACAAAAGUCAAAAACUCAACAUUUAUUAAAAUUACUUCGAAACCCUAAUUUCCCGACUCUCUCUCUCAGCAAUCCGACCGUUCUUUCUCCCCCACCACCACCAGCGCCUUCUCCGACGACCACCACCACCACUGCCUCUCGGUUCUCCGACGACCACCACCACUAGCGCAUCUCGGCUCUCCGACGACCACCACCACCAGCAGCGCCUCCCAAUUCUCCGACGACCACCACCACUUGCGCCUCCCGAUUCUCCAACCACCACCAUCGCAACCAGGCCUCCCGGCUCUCCGACGACCACCAGCAAAGCCGCUCUCUCUAUCGGGUAUUUUUAGAAUAAAUCUAAUUUAAUUGAUUCAAAUUUAAUCUUCAUUCAAUUGAUUUAUUUGUGUUUUUGUGUGAGAUGUUCUGUUUUGCUACUGUGUCGGUGCUCAUUUUUUUUUUUUUUUUUUUUUUGUUUUUUUUUUGGGAAAAUUCUGAAAAAUUCCGAAAAUUUCCGAAAAUUUUCCGAAAAAUUUCCGAAAAUUUCCGAAAAUUCCGAAAAUGAAUAUUUCCGAAAAAUUCCGAUUUUCCGAAAAUUCCGAAAAAAUCGGAAUCGGAAUCACUUUUUGAAUUCCGAAAAAAUCGGAAUCGGAAUCGGAAGUCGUUUUGGAGUUCCGAAAAAAAUCGGAAAUUUUCCGAAACACCCAAAUCCGAUCCGAUCCGUCCGAUUUCCACCCCUAGA
rnacentral:lncRNA from 1 species